UACGUAGGGGGCAAGCGUUGUCCGGAAUUAUUGGGCGUAAAGCGCGCGCAGGUGGCUCUUUAAGUCUGGUGUUUAAUCCCGAGGCUCAACUUCGGGUCGCACUGGAAACUGGAGAGCUUGAGUGCAGAAGAGGAGAGUGGAAUUCCACGUGUAGCGGUGAAAUGCGUAGAGAUGUGGAGGAACACCAGUGGCGAAGGCGACUCUCUGGGCUGUAACUGACGCUGAGGCGCGAAAGCUAGGGGAGCAAACGGG
rnacentral:rRNA from 1 species